AUUGAACGCUGGCGGCAGGCCUAACACACGCAAGUCGAGCGGGGUUUUCGGACCUAGCGGCGGACGGGUGAGUAAUGUGUAGGAAGCUACCCGAUAGAGGGGGAUACCAGUUGGAAACGACUGUUAAUACCGCACAAUGUCUACGGACCAAAGUGUGGGACCUUCGGGCCACAUGCUAUCGGAUGCGCCUACGUGGGAUUAGCUAGUUGGUGAGGUAAUGGCUCACCAAGGCGACGAUCCCUAGCUGGUUUGAGAGGAUGAUCAGCCACACUGGAACUGAGACACGGUCCAGACUCCUACGGGAGGCAGCAGUGGGGAAUAUUGGACAAUGGGCGCAAGCCUGAUCCAGCCAUGCCGCGUGUGUGAAGAAGGCCUUCGGGUUGUAAAGCACUUUCAGUAGGGAGGAAGCGUUGUGUGUUAAUAGUACACAGCGUUGACGUUACCUACAGAAGAAGCACCGGCUAACUCUGUGCCAGCCGCCGCCGUAAUAC
rnacentral:rRNA from 1 species